AGUGAGCGGUAAAAGCUCAAAUUUGAAAUCUGGUACUUUCAGUGCCCGAGUUGUAAUUUGUAGAAUUUGUCUUUGAUUAGGUCCUUGUCUAUGUUCCUUGGAACAGGACGUCAUAGAGGGUGAGAAUCCCGUUUGGCGAGGAUACCUUUUCUUUGUAAGACUUUUUCGAAGAGUCGAGUUGUUUGGGAAUGCAGCUCAAAGUGGGUGGUAAAUUCCAUCUAAAGCUAAAUAUUGGCGAGAGACCGAUAGCGAACAAGUACAGUGAUGGAAAGAUGAAAAGAACUUUGAAAAGAGAGUGAAAAAGUACGUGAAAUUGUUGAAAGGGAAGGGCAUUUGAUCAGACAUGGUGUUUUUUGCAUGCACUCGCCUCUCGUGGGCUUGGGCCUCUCAAAAAUUUCACUGGGCCAACAUCAAUUCUGGCAGGAGGAUAAAUAAUUAAAAAUGUAGCUACUUCCGUCGGGGGAGUGAAAGUUAGAAGAUUUAAAGUUGGGAUUGAUGACGGACCCCCCGCCGUCAAGGAGGUACCCCCU
rnacentral:rRNA from 1 species